rnacentral:rRNA from 1 species
CCUACGGGUGGCAGCAGUGGGGAAUAUUGCACAAUGGGGGAAACCCUGAUGCAGCGACGCCGCGUGGGUGACGAAGUAUUUCGGUAUGUAAAGCCCUAUCAGCAGGGAAGAAGAUGACAGUACCUGACCAAGAAGCCCCGGCUAACUACGUGCCAGCAGCCGCGGUAAUACGUCGGGGGCAAGCGUUAUCCGGAUUGACUGGGUGUAAAGGGAGCGUAGGUGGCAUGGCAAGCCAGCAGUGGAAACCCGGGGCUUAACCCCGCGGAUUGCUUGUGGAACUGUCAGGCUGGAGUGCAGGAGGGGCAGGCGGAAUUCCUGGUGUAGCGGUGAAAUGCGUAGAUAUCAGGAGGAACACCGGUGGCGAAGGCGGCCUGCUGGACGGUAACUGACACUGAGGCUCGAAAGCGUGGGGAGCAAACAGGAUUAGAUACCCUAGUAGUC